rnacentral:pre_miRNA from 1 species
AUCAACCUGUGUGUAUAUGGUGUUCAGCAUCAGGGACAGGUAUGUUUGCCUGUGGGUGGAUGUUAUUCAGCACCAGGGACAGGUGUGUUUACCU